AUGGCCACAUCAUGAUAAAACACUGGUUCCUGUAUGAUCACCAAAGUUAAGCAAUGUCGAUCAUGAUCAUUACCUAAAUGGGUGACCACUUGAGAAUCCCAGGUGCUGUAAG